CAGUCGCCGCGGGAAUACGUAGGGUGCGAGCGUUAAUCGGAAUUACUGGGCGUAAAGCGUGCGCAGGCGGUUGUGUAAGACAGGUGUGAAAUCCCCGGGCUUAACCUGGGAACUACGCUUGUGACUGCACAGCUAGAGUAUGGCAGAGGGGGGUGGAAUUCCACGUGUAGCAGUGAAAUGCGUAGAGAUGUGGAGGAACACCGAUGGCGAAGGCAGCCCCCUGGGCCAAUACUGACGCUCAUGCACGAAAGCGUGGGGAGCAAACAGGAUUAGAUACCCCCGUAGUCCCUGUCUCUUAUAU
rnacentral:rRNA from 1 species